GAUGAACGCUGGCGGCGUGCCUAAUACAUGCAAGUCGAGCGAACAGACGAGGAGCUUGCUCCUCUGACGUUAGCGGCGGACGGGUGAGUAACUCGUGGAUAACCUACCUAUAAGACUGGGAUAACUUCGGGAAACAGGAGCUAAUACCGGAUAAUAUAUUGAACCGCAUGGUUCAAUAGUGAAAGACGGUUUUGCUGUCACUUAUAGAUGGAUCCGCGCCGUAUUAGCUAGUUGGUAAGGUAACGGCUUACCAAGGAAACGAUGCGUAGCCGACCUGAGAGGGUGAUCGGCCACACUGGAACUGAGACACGGUCCAGACUCCUACGGGAGGCAGCAGUAGGGAAUCUUCCGCAAUGGGCGAAAGCCUGACGGAGCAACGCCGCGUGAGUGAUGAAGGUCUUCGGAUCGUAAAACUCUGUUAUUAGGGAAGAACAAAUGUGUAAGUAACUAUGCGCGUCUUGACGGUACCUAAUCAGAAAGCCACGGCUAACUACGUGCCAGCAGCCGCCGUAA
rnacentral:rRNA from 1 species